CCCCUAUCAGCACAUGAAAUUUGUCAAUGACCCAAUUGUCUUCUACUUCUCAACACUUUCUUCACUCCCUGGAUUCCACUUCCCGCAAUCAUACAGCCAAAAUGAGACCCAACAAUUGGGAGUCUUGGACAGUCUCUCCUUUAUGAACUAGAAACGCAGAGCUAGACCUGGAGAGGGUACAACAGAAGUCAUGAGUCACAGUCACGAUCUUCCUCAGCAAGAGAAGCUGAAGCCAAAGCCAAAGCCAAAGGCUGUGAUCGUAGGAGGGAGUAUAGCAGGCGUGUCCUGUGCGCAUGCACUCAUUCGGGCGGGUUGGGAUGUUGUGGUCAUAGAGAAAUCGCGCAAGCCUCCAAAAGGAAGCCCCACCGGUGCAGGACUCAGCUUGGAUCCUCUCUCUCAGGAGCUGAUCAGGUCCUGGACAGGAUGCCCCGAACUCCUCCGAGACAUCACCUGUCCUCUCACCAGUGAUCUAAACCAAGCAAUCGAUGAUGAGAAAACAAGGAAGAUACUGGCAAGAGAUGAUCAUUUCAAUCAUAGAGCAGCACAUUGGGCUAGUCUGCAUGACCACCUGUUCACUGCAUUGCCACCGGAAAUAUUCCUCUGGGGCCAUCUUUUCCUCUCUUUCUCUGUUUCCAAUGAUAAGCAAUCAGUUAAAAUGAAGGCCCAAGUUCUCGACACUGGAGAAACCACCGAAGUAUGCGGAGAUUUGCUCAUCGCUGCAGAUGGAUGCCUCUCCUGAUUCGCAAUCACUUUCUCCCCAAUGUCAAACCAAGAUAUUCCGGCUAUUGUGCCUGGAGAGGAGUUUUUGAUUUCUCGGGCAGUGAAGAUUCUGAAACUAUAAAGAACGUUAGGGAGGCACAUCCGGAGCUUGGAAAAUGCCUGUACUUAGACUUGGCACCUGGAAAUCAUACUGUUCUUUAGGAGAUCCCAAACAAAAGGCUGAACUGGAUAUGGUAUUUGAAUCAACCUGAACCUGACUUGCAGGGAAAUUCAGUUACUACAAAAGUAAGUGAUGACAUGAUUCAGAAGAUGUACCAAGAUGCAGAGAAAAUUUGGCAUCCAGCUUUGGUUCAGCUCAUGAGAGAAACUAAAGAACCUUUCAUAAAUGCCAUUUACGACUGUGAUCCACUAGAACAAAUAGUUUGGGACAAUGUGGUACUUAUUGGUGACGCAGCUCACCCCACAACACCGCACAACUCAAGGAGCACAAACAUGUCGAUUCUGGAUGCAGCUGUCCUAGGCUGGUGCUUGGAGAAGUUGGGAUUGAAAAAUCUAACAGCUGCUCUUGAAGAAUACCAAUCCAUUAGGCUACCUGUUGCAUCCAAGCAAGUUUUGCAUGCUCGGCAAGUCGGGCGGAUAAAACAAGGCCUUGCACUUCCUGACUGCAAACCUUUCAAUCCUAACACAGCCACUCAGGAGGAAUGCAAGAUGCUUCUGCAGAGAGGCGUGCCCUUCUUCGGACAAAAUCCUUUGCUCAGAUCAAGUGACCUUUUGUUGGCUGGCAAACGGUGAUCAUCUUGUAGUUGUUGCCAUUCUGGUCAUGUCAAUGUUGAUUUCGGACAUGACACAGAUUAUUUCUAGCUCCAGCUAAAUAUAGCAAGAGAUGUGUCUUUUUAAGUAUCCGACUUAAACAGGAUCAUCACGGAUGGUGACCCUCAUAUUAGACUUGUGUUAGAGAGUUAAUGAUCAUCUCAUUUACCAAAA